rnacentral:rRNA from 1 species
AUACGUAGGGGGCAAGCGUUGUCCGGAAUUACUGGGCGUAAAGGGUGCGUAGGCGGCCGAUUAAGUCAGAUGUGAAAUACCACGGCUCAACUGUGGGGGUGCAUUUGAAAGUGGUUGGCUUGAGUGCAGGAGAGGAGAGUGGAAUUCCUAGUGUAGCGGUGAAAUGCGUAGAGAUUAGGAGGAACACCAGUGGCGAAGGCGACUUUCUGGACUGUAACUGACGCUGAGGCACGAAAGCGUGGGGAGCAAACAGGAUUAGAUACCCUGGUAGUCCACGCCGUAAACGAUGGAUACUAGGUGUAGGGGGUAUCGGCCCCCCCUGUGCCGGAGUUAACGCAAUAAGUAUCCCGCCUGGGGAGUACGGCCGCAAGGUUGAA